UAAGGGUCACAAUGUGGUCCAGACCACGUAAGUGGUAGUUUUAUGAAUUACAAUGAAGCUGCUGCUCUCUAAAAAUAAAUUUAUCAAAGAGGGAAUAACCUCAUUGGCAAGCUUAUAGCUACAUAACCCGUUUGUCUCACUGCUUCCAAAUGCAGAGCUGGAGGCUCCGAAUUAGUCAAUGGGAGGAGGACUUCAGCCGGCAGUGAGUGAGUCCACUGAACGGAUGGACAAUAGCAUGCUCUGUUAAGUCACAAGCAAAUGAGAGGAAGGAGUCAACUUUGGCUUUCAAUGUCUGGCCUGGGUACAAUGCCUUAAAAAGAAGAGACGACCAGCUUAGCUACUGACCAUGGACUGAAAUCACAGAAAACUGGAACUGGAGUGAAUCACAGAAAAACGGCGAAUGGCUUUCUCUUACAGAAUGUCUGAACAAAGCAUAAUUCCCAAGCACGUUUUGCAGAGUACAUUCGACGACUUAAUCUCUUCUAACUGGUCUGGAUUUCAGAAAGAAUCAAUACCAGAGGAAAUGAAACAGAUUGUUGAGGGACAGGGAAAUAAGCCACACUGGGCAGCUCUUUUGAUACUUGUGGUGAUAAUACCCACCAUCGGUGGGAACAUACUUGUUAUUCUGGCUGUGUCACUGGAGAAAAAGCUGCAGUACGCUACCAAUUACUUUCUUAUGUCUUUGGCGGUGGCUGAUUUGCUGGUUGGAUUGUUUGUGAUGCCGAUUGCGCUCUUGACGAUAAUGUUUGAGGCUGUGUGGCCCCUUCCACUUGUUCUGUGUCCUGCCUGGUUGUUUCUUGAUGUUCUCUUUUCAACUGCAUCCAUCUUACACCUCUGUGCCAUUUCAGUGGAUCGCUACAUAGCCAUCAAAAAGCCAAUCCAGGCCAAUCAAUAUAACUCCCGAGCUACUGCAUUCAUCAAGAUUACAGUGGUGUGGUUAAUUUCAAUAGGCAUUGCCAUUCCAGUCCCUAUUAAAGGGAUAGAUACCGAUGUGCCUAACACACGUAAUCUCACCUGUGAGGUGACAAAGGAGCGUUUUGGCAAUUUCAUGCUUUUUGGCUCUCUGGCUGCCUUCUUCACACCUCUCACAAUCAUGAUUGCCACCUACUUUCUCACUAUCCAUGCUCUACGGAAGAAAGCUUACUUGGUGAAAAACAAGGUGCCGCAACGCCUCAUGUGGCUGAAUGUUUCCACAGUUUUCCAAAGAGACGAAACUCCUGCCUCAUCACCUGAAAAGGCAGCAAUGCUGGAUGGUUCUCACAAGGACAAAACUCUGUCCAAUUCAAGUGAUGAAACCCUUAUGCGACGAACAUCCAAAAUUGGAAAAAAGUCUGUGCAAACCAUUUCCAAUGAACAGAGGGCCUCAAAGGUCCUUGGAAUUGUAUUCUUCCUCUUUCUGCUUAUGUGGUGCCCCUUUUUCAUUACAAAUAUAACUUUAGCUUUGUGUGAUUCCUGCAACCAGACUACUCUCAAAACACUCCUGGAGAUUUUUGUGUGGAUAGGCUACAUUUCCUCAGGGGUGAAUCCUUUGGUCUACACCCUCUUCAACAAGACAUUUCGGGAUGCAUUUGGCCGAUACAUCACCUGCAAUUACCAGGCUACAAAGUCAGUAAAAACUCUAAGAAAAUGCUCCAGUAAGAUCUACUUCCGAAAUCCGAUGGCAGAGAACUCCAAAUUUUUCACAAAACACGGAAUGCAAAAUGGGAUUAAUUCUGCCAUGUACCAGAGUCCAAAGAGGCUCCAAAACUCAAACAUUCAGUCUUCAGCAGUCAUCCUACUAGAUACACUUCUCCUCACUGAAAAUGAAGGUGACAAAACUGAAGAUCAAGCCAGUUAUGUCUAGCACAACUGGGACAGUUUUUGUCUAACUAAGCUGAUGAACAAGAUUCCAGGUGCAUCAAGAAUACGUAAAGAAGAAUUUUAGAUGAACAGGACUUAUUGUCAAAGAUCCACACUCCGAACCUAGAUAUAUUCCUCAGAUGUUUAGUUUCUGCUUAGCUGACCACAAAAAGAAAUGGAACAUAAACAGGAUGUGAAGU